UGUUUACCCGCCAAAUGUGAAGACUGACAGAUAAGCGGAAAUGCACUAUCAAAAUAAAAGCCGGGUCUGAAUCCUUCAAUGCUGACGUGUCGCCGUUGCUGUAGAUCCAGAGCUAAACGUCUGAAUUGCUUUUUAAACUGAACUGUUGUUUAAGAAAAGACGAAAUUAAACAACGACGAAGAGAUGACAGGAAGCGAUUCGGAAGACCCAACUUCCGGUUAACGCUGUCAGGACAAAGAAGCUGCUAGAAACUGGGAACAGGAAAAUGAAAGCUUGGUGCGAUAAAACUGCAGCUCAGGCUGAGCUGACCUUUUGACCCCUGAUGGAGGGCAGCAGGCCUGAAUGCUCCGCGUGGCUCUGCGUGUCACAGUGGCAGAACUCCGAGGCCCACGGCCAUUCCUGUGUGAGCCCGCGAUAAAAGAGGGGAGCUUCCCGUCGGUCCUCCUCACCCCGCUCCCCCAUGAAGAGCGACUUGGCAGGGUAAUUAAGAAUGGCCUCUAAACACGGCAGCAUGGCAGCAACGCUCCAGAUGAAAGUAAAUGAUUAAAAUAAUUACAGGCUGAGCGCUGAUGAGCCGCAGUGAGGGCUGGCCGCCGGACAUCGGGCGGUAAUUAGAUAAUUAAUCUGAAUGCAAAUGAUGAGCCCUAACGAAGCAGUCAGGCUGAACCAGCGACAACUGCCGAGAGUGAGGAAGAGUGAGGAAGAGUGAGGAAGAGGGAGGAAGAGAGGAGGGAGAAGGGAGGGGGAGAGGAGGAACGCAUGAAAAUGAGAGAAAAAGCUGCAGCUUCUGCUGUAAACCAACAGGAAGAGAAAAGUUUCACUGCUCCUGACAGCAUCUGCUGAGUUAAAAAUAAACAAAACAGCGCCUGCAUGAGCAAAACACCGAAAUGAGAAAUGAAGAUGAAAAACCACCUGAGGAGAAAAACAGCGCAGGCUGAGCACACGCUGGAACUGCAAGAGCAAACAGUGGAUUUUCACAGAAACGCUCAUUAUUUCUGCUGCUCCUCUUCCUCUGCAGCGCCGAGGUAAACAGCCUCUGAAACGGCGCGCACCUGGCAGACAGAACCCACCUCUGACCCGGACCAGAACCGUUUCAUCUGGAUCUGCAGACACACAACCAGAACCGGCCAGGAUUACUUACACUCUUCAUCACCUUUAUUAACAACACAUGGAGGUCCAAUUCAAUCAGAUGAAAUGACUUACAUUUACUAAAAAACAACUUUAGGAGAAUUUUUACUCCUUCUGGAGUUCUACAUCAUCUAGUUCUACAUCAUCUACUUCUACACCAUCUAGU